rnacentral:rRNA from 1 species
AGAUUGAACGCUGGCGGCAUGCCUAACACAUGCAAGUCGAACGGGAGUAGCAAUACUCUAGUGGCGGACGGGUGAGGAAUACGUAGGAAUUUGCCCUUAAGUGGGGGAUAACCCGGGGAAACCCGGAUUAAUACCGCAUGACCUCGAAAGAGCAAAGUGGGGGAUCGCAAGACCUCACGCUUUUGGAGAAGCCUACGUCGGAUUAGCUAGUUGGUGAGGUAAUGGCUCACCAAGGCGACGAUCCGUAACUGGUCUGAGAGGAUGAUCAGUCACACCGGAACUGAGACACGGUCCGGACUCCGUACGGGAGGCAGCAGUGGGGAAUAGUUGGACAAGUGGGACG